UUUAAAAGUCAAUUGAGAAACCAUUUUUUACCAAGUUGAGUGGUAAAGCUGAUAGAUGACGCAGAGAUAAGUAGAUAUGCCCCCACCUGUGGGAAAUGAGCCCUGUACAAAUUGUUGCAGCCUGGCUUAUACACACAAAUUGGAAUUUUCUCAUAUUCUUCGUGGCAUUUGCACCCACCUGCACAUCAUCUCACCAGAUGGCCGGACCGGUGAAUGCAGGGUGACGAUAGUUUCCCGCAGAAGUGGCGCUGACACGCUCUCCCUGCUGCGUCCAGACGAUGCGCACAAGGUCAGCGUGCUUUUGCCAGUGCAGAGCCUGCAAAGACGAUGGGAAACCAAGUCCACUGCAGAAUCACUUCUCUCCAGCCUUUUCCUACACCAGGGUCUCUGAGGCAGCAAGCGCCCCUCCUGUACCCGCAUUUCAGUUAGAACGGAAAUGAGGCAGCCUUCUAGGGCUUUAGGGAUAAAAGCAACAUCCUCCACAGAUAGGAGGUCUGUCUGGAACUCGUUAGGGACAUCGCGCAGGCUUAGAGAAUCACAACCGUGAUCUCAACACGCUUCCCUAAGCUUAAAGGAAAUUAGAACCACAUGGCAAGAAAACUACCUAAGCUCAAGCAAACAAAAAUAACAAACACACAAAGAACAAAAGUUUAGCAUCCUUAACUCAUAAAUUAUACUUACAGUAAGGAAUAUCAUUCCAUUAUACAAAUAGCAACA